rnacentral:misc_RNA from 1 species
GAUGAAGAACGCAGUGAAAUGCGAUAAGUAAUGUGAAUUGCAGAAUUCAGUGAAUCAUCGAAUCUUUGAACGCACAUUGCGCCCGCCAGUAUUCUGGCGGGCAUGCCUGUUCGAGUGUCAUUUCAACCAUCAAGCCCCAGGCUUGUGUUGGGGACCUGCGGCUGCCGCAGGCCCUGAAAACCAGUGGCGGGCUCGCUGUCACACCGGGCGUAGUAGAUUUUAUCUCGCUCAGGGCGUGCUGCGGGUCCCGGCCGUUAAAAGCCUUUUUUUACCCAAGGUUGACCUCGGAUCAGGUAGGAAGACCCGCUGAACUUAAGCAUAUCAAUAAGCGGAGGA